rnacentral:rRNA from 1 species
CCAAUAGCGUAUAUUAAAGUUGUUGCAGUUAAAAAGCUCGUAGUUGAACCUCGGGGUCUACCCAUUGGUCAGGCUUAAUUGUCUGCACUGGUGAGAUGGAUCUCUACCUUCUGAGGAACUUUCAUGCCAUUUAUUUGGUGUGAUGGGAAAUCAGGACUGUUACUUUGAAAAAAUUAGAGUGUUUAAAGCAGACUAUCGUCUGAAUACAUUAGCAUGGAAUAAUGAAAUAGGACGGACUGAUUCUAUUUCGUUGGUUUCUAGGAUCACCGUAAUGAUUAAUAGGGAUAGUUGGGGGCAUUAGUAUUCAAUUGUCAGAGGUGAAAUUCUUGGAUUUAUUGAAGACUAACUACUGCGAAAGCAUUUGCCAAGGAUGUUUUCAUUAAUCAAGAACGAAAGUUAGGGGAUCGAAGACGAUCAGAUACCGUCGUAGUCUUAACCAUAAACUAUGCCGACUAGGGAUCGGACGAAGUUAAUUUUUUAAUGAUUCAUUUGGCGCCUUACG